ACACAUGUCAGAGAGCACACUGCUUCAGGA
rnacentral:piRNA from 1 species